GCCUGAUUUUUAUUCUCAAACGACUUAUAGUGGGAUGGUGAUAACCAACAAUACGUGCGGUUGUCACAGCGACAUUCCUGCUUCUCUUAUGCUGAUUAUUUGCCUUAUUUCUGCAGCUAAGACUUUUGGAGGACCCAUCACAAGGUGUCAAUCACAUAACUUUAUAAACUUGGUUAUUUUAAGUAUUGAAAACAAUGAAGAUAAAAACACCUGUUUGCUGUUUACGGGUACAGUAGAUGCAUGUGCAGAUAAGAACUUAUCGAGUCAAUAUUUAUUGAUUAAACUCAG
rnacentral:lncRNA from 1 species